UAAAAGAUAAGCUAACUAAAGCUAAUGGGCUCAUAACCCGUCUAUGAAUUUUCUCUUUUAC
rnacentral:tRNA from 5 species